UACGGGGGGAGCAAGCGUUGUUCGGAUUUACUGGGCGUAAAGGGCGCGUAGGCGGCCAUCGCAAGUCGACUGUGAAAUCUCCGGGCUUAACCCGGAAAGGUCAGCCGAUACUGCGGGGCUAGAGUGCAGAAGGGGCAACUGGAAUUCUCGGUGUAGCGGUGAAAUGCGUAGAUAUCAGGAGGAACACCAGCGGCGAAGGCGCUGCUCUGGGCCGGUACUGACGCUGAGGAGCGAAAGCGUGGGGAGCGAACAGG
rnacentral:rRNA from 1 species